GCGGAAUUAGUCUAGCUCGGUAUGACGUCAGCUUCCCAAGUUGAAGGUCGUGGGUUCAAAUCCCGCAUUCCGCA
rnacentral:tRNA from 1 species